AUUGAACGCUGGCGGCAUGCCUUACACAUGCAAGUCGAACGAUGAUGAGGAGCUUGCUUCUCUGAUUAGUGGCGAACGGGUGAGUAACACGUGAGCAAUCUGCCCUUGACUCUGGGAUAAGCGUUGGAAACGACGUCUAAUACCGGAUACGACCCUUGGAGGCAUCUCUGGGGGUGGAAAGAAUUUUGGUCAAGGAUGAGCUCGCGGCCUAUCAGCUAGUUGGUGAGGUAAUGGCUCACCAAGGCGACGACGGGUAGCCGGCCUGAGAGGGUGACCGGCCACACUGGGACUGAGACACGGCCCAGACUCCUACGGGUGGCUG
rnacentral:rRNA from 1 species